rnacentral:rRNA from 1 species
GACGAACGCUGGCGGCGUGCUUAACACAUGCAAGUCGAACGGAAAGGCCCUGCUUUUGUGGGGUGCUCGAGUGGCGAACGGGUGAGUAACACGUGAGUAACCUGCCCUUGACUUUGGGAUAACUUCAGGAAACUGGGGCUAAUACCGGAUAGGAGCUCCUGCUGCAUGGUGGGGGUUGGAAAGGUUCGGCGGUUGGGGAUGGACUCGCGGCUUAUCAGCUUGUUGGUGGGGUAGUGGCUUACCAAGGCUUUGACGGGUAGCCGGCCUGAGAUGGUGACCGGCCACAUUGGGACUGAGAUACGGCCCAGACUCCUACGGGAGGCAGCAGUGGGGAAUAUUGCACAAUGGGCGGAAGCCUGAUGCAGCAACGCCGCGUGCGGGAUGACGGCCUUCGGGUUGUAAACCGCUUUCGCCUGUGACGAAGCGUGAGUGACGGUAAUGGGUAAAGAAGCACCGGCUAACUACGUG